ensembl:snRNA U6 U6 spliceosomal RNA
GUGCUUGCUUCAGCAGCCUGUAUACUAAAAUUGAAAUAAUACAGAGAUUAUCAUGGCCCCUGCUCAAGGAUGACAUGCAAAUUCAUGAAGCGUUGGGUAUUUUU